rnacentral:misc_RNA from 1 species
GAGGAACUGCCCACCUGCAAAUACAUCAUGUCCAUCUCUCUCUCUUACACAGACACACACAAAGUCGAAGAAUAGCAACUGGUUUUGAUGUCUUAAGAAAAUCCACCAAAAACUAAAAGAUAGUUAAAAAAGAGAGAUAGGUAUCUCUCUCCCUCUAGCUUUCUUCCAGGGGCGGCUCUGAUAAAAAUUCCUUUAUUUUU